rnacentral:rRNA from 1 species
GGGGAUGACGUCAAGUCCUCAUGGCCUUUAUGCCCAGGGCUACGCACGUGCUACAAUGGGCGGUACAAAGAGAAGCAACCUCGCGAGGGUGAGCAAAUCUCAAAAAGCCGUUCUCAGUUCGGAUUGAAGUCUGCAACUCGACUUCAUGAAGUCGGAAUCGCUAGUAAUCGCGGAUCAGCAUGCCGCGGUGAAUACGUUCCCGGGCCUU